rnacentral:rRNA from 1 species
GACGAACGCUGGCGGCGUGCCUAAUACAUGCAAGUAGAACGCUGAAGAGAGGAGCUUGCUCUUCUUGGAUGAGUUGCGAACGGGUGAGUAACGCGUAGGUAACCUGCCUUGUAGCGGGGGAUAACUAUUGGAAACGAUAGCUAAUACCGCAUAACAAUGGAUGACACAUGUCAUUUAUUUGAAAGGGGCAAUUGCUCCACUACAAGAUGGACCUGCGUUGUAUUAGCUAGUAGGUGAGGUAAUGGCUCACCUAGGCGACGAUACAUAGCCGACCUGAGAGGGUGAUCGGCCACACUGGAACUGAGACACGGCCCAGACUCCUACGGGAGGCAGCAGUAGGGAAUCUUCGGCAAUGGGGGCAACCCUGACCGAGCAACGCCGCGUGAGUGAAGAAGGUUUUCGGAUCGUAAAGCUCUGUUGUAAGUCAAGAACGGGUGUGAGAGUGGAAAGUUCACACUGUGACGGUAGCUUACCAGAAAGGGACGGCUAACUACGUG